rnacentral:rRNA from 1 species
UACGGGGGGAGCAAGCGUUGUUCGGAUUUACUGGGCGUAAAGGGCGCGUAGGCGGCGUGUCAAGUCACUUGUGAAAUCUCCGGGCUUAACUCGGAACGGUCAAGUGAUACUGUCGUGCUAGAGUGCGGAAGGGGCAACUGGAAUUCUUGGUGUAGCGGUGAAAUGCGUAGAUAUCAAGAGGAACACCUGCGGCGUAGGCGGGUUGCUGGGCCGACACUGACGCUGAGGCGCGAAAGCUAGGGGAGCGAACGGG